rnacentral:lncRNA from 1 species
UUUCUCCAGGGAGCUCCACUAAUCUUUCCCUCAUCUCCAGAAGGAAGGGAAGGACCAAGGCGAUGAAGGACAAGUGAGCCAUUGCAGCCACACUCCCAGAUACAAGCACCCUUUGUUCUGCAGGAUAAAUACAGCCCGUGCUAUUUCAGAUAAACCCACACAAGAGUGACUACCCCACCAGGAACCUAUCAAGCACUUAGGAAUGAGAAAAAUGGCAAGCCCUUGAGGUUUUUGUUCUCUUCCCUGU